UACAGAGGCCUCGAGCGUUAUCCGGAAUUAUUGGGCGUAAAGGGUGUGUAGGUGGUCUUGUUAGUCUCCUGUAAAAUUCUUCGGCUUAACCGGGGGCGCGCGGGAGAAACGGCAAGACUAGAGUGUGCGAGGGGUCUGCGGAACUCAUGGAGUAGGGGUGAAAUCCGUUGAUAUCAUGGGGAACACCAAAAGCGAAGGCAGCAAACUGGCGCAUUACUGACACUCAAACACGAAAGCGUGGGUAGCGAAUGGG
rnacentral:rRNA from 1 species